GUGCCCGUAGCUCAGCUGGAUAGAGCGGUUGACUACGGAUCAACAGGUCGGAGGUUCGAAUCCUUCCGGGCACA
rnacentral:tRNA from 1 species